rnacentral:rRNA from 1 species
CACGCCGCGUGAGUGAUGAAGGCUUUCGGGUCGUAAAACUCUGUUGUUAGGGAAGAACAAGUGCUAGUUGAAUAAGCUGGCACCUUGACGGUACCUAACCAGAAAGCCACGGCUAACUACGUGCCAGCAGCCGCGGUAAUACGUAGGUGGCAAGCGUUAUCCGGAAUUAUUGGGCGUAAAGCGCGCGCAGGUGGUUUCUUAAGUCUGAUGUGAAAGCCCACGGCUCAACCGUGGAGGGUCAUUGGAAACUGGGAGACUUGAGUGCAGAAGAGGAAAGUGGAAUUCCAUGUGUAGCGGUGAAAUGCGUAGAGAUAUGGAGGAACACCAGUGGCGAAGGCGACUUUCUGGUCUGUAACUGACACUGAGGCGCGAAAGCGUGGGGAGCAAACAGGAUUAGAUACCCCC